GGGCGCGACGUGUCUUGCUAUUGGCCACGACAUUCUUAGAGGCGCACAGAGAGGCGGAAGAGAGUUGGAAAACAGAUUUAAACCGAGUUUGAACCGUUACCUCUGUUUGCUAGUACUGUGAGAAAAUGUCGUUAUCGAAGAGGUCUGGAUGCUAAAACAAACUCUGGAGCUGAUUCUUUUCUUGAAUACGAGUGAGACUGGACGCUGAACACACCUGCUGCGCGAAGGUUUACUCAUUCAGCUGCUGCAGCCUGGACAGAAACACCAACUCUCAUCUCACAAACCAAACAGGUGUCACCACUUUGUCCACGAUCAUAGUCUUUGUACAAUGAAGAAGUUCUUUGAGACCAGAACUGAGGCAUCCAGGAUUCAAACUUCAACCAUUAAAUCACAGAGAAGAGACAGAUGUAAAGACAUUUCCGAAAAGGUCUUCGGCUGCUGUCAUCUUCUCCUCCUGCAGAGAGAAGAACAUGUGUUAAUCACAGACACUGAUCAAUAAAUGUAUUUUUCUUUUCCUGAACUCAACUGUACUCAUCCUAACCCACCUAUGACACUUUUUCAUAUUUCUUUGACACCUUAAGAAAACAUGCGGCUUAAGACACAGAAACUAUCUUAAUGCAGCCUUCUUACACAUAUUCACAUGUCUACACAUUGUUUAAGGGUUAGGUUAAAUUUUGUGUUUGUCAUUUCAUUUUGGUGUGUUGCUAUUUCAAAUAGAGCAGUAUCAGUACUCAAAUCCAAUCCAUUACUGUGUAUAUAGUUCUAUGUAUAUUGUUUAUAAUUUUUACAUGUUGUAUUAGUCUUGCUCAAAUAAAUACUU